GGGUGGAGUAGAUAACUUGUCUCUUCAGUUCAUAGGUCUUAAGAUCAAGAAGAAUGGUAUUAGAGGAGCUGUAUAAAACUACACCCAUGAACUUGUCUCUCCAUACGUGGACCUGAUUUUGAAGAUAAUCUCAUCCACAGGCCAGAGAAUUCCCUAGAGCUUCAACUGCAAGGUGCCCCAUUCACACAAAGAGCUCAAAUCCAGGAACCUGGCUCAACUACUUUGAGAAAAGGACAUAAAGAGAUCCCAAAUAAUGGCGUGUCAAAGCACGAAGUGUUCUGCUUCACCACCACCCAGGAACCAAAGCAAACCCAAGAGCCCAGCCAACAUUCACGAAGAUGCAGUCAGUGCAACAGUUGGCACUGUUUUCUGGUAAAGACAGCUACAGGAUUACAAUUCUCCAGCUCUGCAACAAAGGAGCUUUUCCUGAGUGCCAGAGAGCCUGAGGGGAGUCAGCAAAUCGGAAAGUCACGGUAACCUUCCAUUCACUUCAAUCACAGUCACCUUCCUUUCACUUCAAUGAUGCUGAGCCGAAGUCAACACAGAUGUUCUCCCAUCCAGCAAUCCCUAUUUGCAGAAAGCUGUAUUCUUCUGAGGUUCCUCACCAAACACUGGACGUCAGGAAAACAUUCAGGAAAAUUAUUCAGCUUUGAUGGCAUUCCUACUUCAUCUCUCCCUCUGCCCCCAGCGAAGAGCUCUGAACUCCUGUUGCAGGGCCUCACUAAGCAUCACACACAGCUGAGUGGCCGAUUCUCUCAAGUCCUAGGUUCCUCCUUCCAACUGGCUAGACCUUGUCUAAGGCCACAGAGACACGGGUGGGUGUGAGGAGAACCUGAACCAGACUCCGAAUGUCUGUCUUUCUAGAGAAAAGACUCCUGAACUUACGAGUAAGGCCUCCCACUCUACUCAUACCUUCAAAAUGGACAACAAUAAUAAAUAAUCCUCUUUCUUUGC